rnacentral:tRNA from 1 species
GCCUCGGUAGCUCAGGGGAUAGAGCGUCGGUUUCCUAAACCGUGCGUCGGGUGUUCGAAUCGCCUCCGGGGCACCA